rnacentral:rRNA from 1 species
UACAGAGGGUGCAAGCGUUGUUCGGAAUUAUUGGGCGUAAAGCGCGUGUAGGCGGCUUUGCAAGUCGGGUGUGAAAGCCCUCGGCUCAACCGAGGAAGUGCGCCCGAAACUGCAGAGCUUGAGUACCGGAGAGGAUGGCGGAAUUCCCCAAGUAGAGGUGAAAUUCGUAGAUAUGGGGAGGAACACCGGUGGCGAAGGCGGCCAUCUGGACGGAUACUGACGCUGAGACGCGAAAGCGUGGGUAGCAAACGAGGA